rfam:Camelus ferus unplaced genomic scaffold scaffold144, whole genome shotgun sequence.
GAGGGUAUAGCUCAGUGGGUAGAGCACAUGCUUAGCAUGCACAAGGUCCUGGGUGCAAUCCCCAGUGCCUCCA